GACCCGGAUUUUUAAAAAUAUUUUUAUUAGUAUUAAAAGUGAUUUUCUUCAAAGAAGGGAAUAAGAUUUAAUAUUUUAUUCCAGUUUAAGGAGUUUUCAAAAUUUUAUAUUAAACCCCGGGUUAUUGUGUUAUUGAUAAAUAAUUGUAUUUUCAAAACUGAUUUUCAUAUAUUGUUUCGAAAAUUCUAGAUGAUUAUUAUGUGAAUAUAUGUGUGAUGUGAGUAAGUGGUAUUGGUGGAUUUGUUGGUUAAUUAAUUAUGGUUAAUUAUGAGUAUUAUAUGAUUAAUAUAUGAAUUUUUGUGAAUUUUAUAUUAUCUAGUUUAUUGAGCUGAAUGCUCGUAUGUGUUCGUAUUUGCGAGAUUUCAAUUUCUGUAUGCUCAGAAGAAAAUAUAGUUUAUUUGGAUAUUUUCAUAUCGAUUUAUGGAAUGUUAGAUGAUUUUAUAAUCGAUUUACGGAUUUAAUUGCGUAUAUUUAUAUUUAUUUAUUAAUUAUUUGACUUCCGUAAAACCGUCCACUCGUAACGAGGUAACAAAUUUUCUUCCCGGAAGUUUCAACAAAACUCACCUUUAGCCUAAUUUGAAUAUUCCGGACACUUUUCGUGUUUUGACUUUUUCGAUCCGGAGUACGGUUUUUCCCGAAGUCGGUCCGGCGGAGUUUUUCGGGUAUUUUAAUUGUUGAUAAUUAUCCAGUUUGUCUCGAUAUACGUGAAAGCUAGAUAUUUUGAUUAUUAUAUUCAUUCUUAUCUUGUAAUAAUUGCAAUGGGACCCGCAUACUAAUGACUGAUUAAAAAGCCCCGUUUUGAUGAUUAUCUUGAAAACCAGCACCGAUUGGACCCCGCUUUAUUAUAUAAAGCUAGUAAAUAUCGUAUUUUCAUGUCAUAAACGAUCCAAAGGGGUACCAAUUAUUUGUAAAUAUAAAUAGACCUUUCUAGAGCUUAUUUUCAACCGUAAAUCAUUUUCACCAGUUUCUGUUCACGAAUACCGAGAGAAACCGAGCUGCGUUCUUCGUGUUCUUCGUAAUCAAACAAGGUUUUGAAGGUGUUAUUGGAAUCCGAUGGAGGCGUAUGAAUAGUCAAAACGAAGCUAUCGACGCGUAGAAUCUAGUACAAUCAUCCGUUUAUGUGCAGAUUGGUCAGGAUUUGGACGAGACGUGUACGCUCGAAGAGGUCAGGAAGUCGAAAUGGUAUUGCAAAGCGAAUAAGGGAUGAAUCGAGUAAGCGAAGCGAUGUGGCGAAUAGAGUACGGCUAGAGAUGGUCUAGAAAUUAUAAUAUGGAUAGAUUGUGAAAGUGGAAAGAUGAGAUAGAGAUGUGAGACUGGAGUCAGAUUUAAGAAAGGAUUAAAGAUGAAUGGCUAGACUAUGAUUGCGAGUAAGGCUAAGGCUAGGCGAGGAUUCAGAGUUGAGGAUCCAGUGGUCAAGGAGUAUUCAGGAAGAUUUAUAAAGUUGGUGCUAGCUAGAGUUGAGCUAUUGAGAUUCAGAUGUAAUUCAUAGCUGGAACAAAUUGGCAGUGAUUCUUCUUAUCGAAGAUGAUCCGAUUUGGUAAGAGAUGUUGUGUAAUAAUUAGUGAUGGAUUCUAAUUUCAAUACUGUAACCUGGAUGCGAUCCUGUUGAUUUUAGGGGGUUUAAAUGUUCUCUUUCAAAUCUUUUAUUAAGGCUUUCAGGUUUUGAAUUUCAAGUUUUAAAUUCUUUGAUUUUAUUAUCUUUCAAAAAAAAAAAAAAAAUAAUAAAAAAAAUUCAAGUUUCUAAAGUGUUUUAAAAAUGGUUUUUAUGUGGUGACGUCAGAAUCCAGCCCCCGGAUUCUCGGACCGUCACAGUUGGUAUCAGAGCAACAGGUUAUAAGUAUUUGAAAUUAGAAUAUAGAUUAUAGUUAUAGGUUUUCUAGAGAAGAAUGUGGUGUAACCUCACAUAGAGGUAUGGUCGGACUAUUUAGGAAUAGUCUAGAGAUGUGAGUGAAGCAUAGAGUUUAGUUAGAUGAUCAAGUUAAGUGUGGAUACUUAAAGAGAUUAGGAUUCUUAAGUUUAGACAUAUGAUUUCUAGUAUGUUGAUUAAUUGAGAUGGUGAAUCGUGGGAAAGAUCAGUAUUAGACCAAUAUAGAAGAGUUUGAUAGUGAAUGAUUGAGUUGAGAAUGGUGAAAAUGCAGAGUUCAGAGUAUUCUGACUAUACUGCAUAUUUGAAAUUGGAUUAUUGUAUUGAUUUGAGGAUGAUAUAAAUGCAUGGUUCAUAGUAUGUUGACCAUGUCAGAUAUUUGGAAGAUGUAUAUUGUUUUGAGUGAAGAUAUGAAGAGUAAGUGUAGAGUAUGAGUUGUACUGAAUCAGAAGGAGAGAUUUAUAGAUAGAGGUGGAUAGGUGAGAAGUGAAUGAUAGAGAGUAUGUGGAGUUGAGUCCAGCUAUUAGAGGUAAUGUCUGCGAGUAAGUUAGAACGUUAGUCCUCGACGACGACGCUUCAAGCUAAUCGGGACUUCAAACGAUAUCAAGGUGGGCCCAUAACCCACAGGUUGACGAUCCAAACGAUUGAAGAUAUGUUACAUGUCCUGCUAUGGACUUCAAAGGCAAUUGGGAUGAAAUAAUGUAAACUACUUGGGCCAGACUUAUUACGAACAAUGACAUCUUACGACGCUAUUACGAUUGAACGUCGAUCAAUUAUCGAGAAGGCUGAAAAGGAGAUAUACAACGAACGAUGAUUUUUGAAGUAGAGCAGUAAUUUGAGAAGACCUUGGCAGUACCUCUCUUCAACUAAAGAUUCUUUUGAUUAUAUGUUUUUCAUCAGUGAGUUAUUAUGAUAUCAUUUCGAUAAACGAGAUUUUCAAUUUCUCAAAUUCUAAGGUGACAUUGAUAUUGAUUAUUGGUAUGAGUUGGAAAGCAAAGAUGUGUGAUAAAGGUUUGUUGUGAAGAGAUAGUGAUGUUCCUUGAUAUUGUUUGACAUUUCUUGACAUUCCUUGAUAUUCUUUCAUCAUCCUUGAUAUCCCUUGAUGUUCUUUGAUAUUCUCGAGAUUCUUUGAUAUUCUUUGAUAUUCCUUAACAUUUCUUCAAUUUGAUUGGGAUGAACAACCCUAUGUAUAGGGGACACAAGGUAUACCUGUCUGUGUGAUAGGAGUUGGAUGGGACGCCAUCACUUGUGUGUGUUGUGAUUACAAGAAGGUUAACAACCUUUAGUAGUGUCUAAUAUGGACACGCAACAUUAAGUUCAUUUGAUCGUAUGGAUCUCCCAGUCACUCUUGUAUUCCAAUGUGGCGUAUUUUGAAAAUAUCUUGUUCCUCCGAAAUUUCCAAAAGAUUGAUUCUUGGGAAAUGAAGUUUGCAAUUGUAAAAGUUUUGAUUCUCCUAUUUCUUUAACUGUAAAGGUAUGCCAAGGUUGAUUAAGGGCGGAUGAGCAUGUGAUAUUAUGAAGCGUGUACAAUGAUUUUACAAAUGAUACGUUUUAGUUUUUUCGCGGAUUCCGAGGGCGGAAUCCUUAUAAGGGGGGAAGAAUGUAAUAUCCCAUAUUAUUAAAUUUAGAUUUGAUUAUUAUAAAUCUAUUUGUCUAAAUAUAAUUGUUGGCUUUAAUGGAAUAGUGAUCUGAUUAUGUGAAUAGUGUGUAUGUGAUUAUAUUUGUUAUGUGGAUCAAUAUGGAUUAUACUAAUUAUGCGUUCUCCUUCUUUCUCUGAUUCCGAGGACGGAAUCCCUAUAAGGAGGGUAAAUUGUAAUGACCCGGAUUUUUAAAAAUAUUUUUAUUAGUAUUAAAAGUGAUUUUCUUCAAAGAAGGGAAUAAGAUUUAAUAUUUUAUUCCAGUUUAAGGAGUUUUCAAAAUUUUAUAUUAAACCCCGGGUUAUUGUGUUAUUGAUAAAUAAUUGUAUUUUCAAAACUGAUUUUCAUAUAUUGUUUCGAAAAUUCUAGAUGAUUAUUAUGUGAAUAUAUGUGUGAUGUGAGUAAGUGGUAUUGGUGGAUUUGUUGGUUAAUUAAUUAUGGUUAAUUAUGAGUAUUAUAUGAUUAAUAUAUGAAUUUUUGUGAAUUUUAUAUUAUCUAGUUUAUUGAGCUGAAUGCUCGUAUGUGUUCGUAUUUGCGAGAUUUCAAUUUCUGUAUGCUCAGAAGAAAAUAUAGUUUAUUUGGAUAUUUUCAUAUCGAUUUAUGGAAUGUUAGAUGAUUUUAUAAUCGAUUUACGGAUUUAAUUGCGUAUAUUUAUAUUUAUUUAUUAAUUAUUUGACUUCCGUAAAACCGUCCACUCGUAACGAGGUAACAAAUUUUCUUCCCGGAAGUUUCAACAAAACUCACCUUUAGCCUAAUUUGAAUAUUCCGGACACUUUUCGUGUUUUGACUUUUUCGAUCCGGAGUACGGUUUUUCCCGAAGUCGGUCCGGCGGAGUUUUUCGGGUAUUUUAAUUGUUGAUAAUUAUCCAGUUUGUCUCGAUAUACGUGAAAGCUAGAUAUUUUGAUUAUUAUAUUCAUUCUUAUCUUGUAAUAAUUGCAAUGGGACCCGCAUACUAAUGACUGAUUAAAAAGCCCCGUUUUGAUGAUUAUCUUGAAAACCAGCACCGAUUGGACCCCGCUUUAUUAUAUAAAGCUAGUAAAUAUCGUAUUUUCAUGUCAUAAACGAUCCAAAGGGGUACCAAUUAUUUGUAAAUAUAAAUAGACCUUUCUAGAGCUUAUUUUCAACCGUAAAUCAUUUUCACCAGUUUCUGUUCACGAAUACCGAGAGAAACCGAGCUGCGUUCUUCGUGUUCUUCGUAAUCAAACAAGGUUUUGAAGGUGUUAUUGGAAUCCGAUGGAGGCGUAUGAAUAGUCAAAACGAAGCUAUCGACGCGUAGAAUCUAGUACAAUCAUCCGUUUAUGUGCAGAUUGGUCAGGAUUUGGACGAGACGUGUACGCUCGAAGAGGUCAGGAAGUCGAAAUGGUAUUGCAAAGCGAAUAAGGGAUGAAUCGAGUAAGCGAAGCGAUGUGGCGAAUAGAGUACGGCUAGAGAUGGUCUAGAAAUUAUAAUAUGGAUAGAUUGUGAAAGUGGAAACAUGAGAUAGAGAUGUGAGACUGGAGUCAGAUUUAAGGCAAGUAUCCUGCACCCUGCUUUUGGAUAUAUUGCAUAUUCUGAUCCAUUCUUUUUAUAUGUGUUGCAAGUAUCCUACACCCUUCUUUUGGAUAUCUUGCAAAUAUUCUGAUCCAUUCCUUUGGUAUAUGUUUCAAGUAUUCAUACCUUUCUUUUAUAUGUUUGAAAGUGCAAGUAUUCUGACCCAUUCUUUCUAUUCUUCGAGUUUCUAAAGAAAUUCCGUUUUACAAAUUAAUUCGAAUUUCAGAUUGUCAUUGAAGCAUGUGUUGCUCAGUGAUAGUUAGAGCUUUGAAUGAAUUGGGAUCUUAUUGAUUAUUCAACCCACCAUUGUCAUGCUGGUUUAGCAGGCUAAAUUCAGUUGCUUAGCCGAUAAUGGAGGAUACUGAAUAGUUGAGGAUUUCCUGAACUGUGAUUUAUGAAAUGAAGGAUCAUGAUUUAUGAAUAGAUUAUUAUCAAAGUUUGAAUUGGAAUUAUUCUGUUGUUGAUGAUAUUUAUGAUGAUGUUCUGUUAAUUUACAUUGGCUUCUUGAAUUGAAUUAGAGAAUUGGAUUAUUGUUUUUAUAUAAACCUGUGGACCAGAUUCGUGGUCAUGUUAGGCCAAUGAGUGCCUUGGAUCCAGUGAUAGAGCAUGGCGGGGCCUGCUCGGGGUUAGUGCAGAACUGAUCAGCUGCCUAACCUUGGUUUUAAUUAAAAUGUGAUAGUCCAAUUCAAUAAUUCUUUUGGAAAGAUUGAAUUCCUCAGUAUUCAAUUGCUGCAAGGUAUUGUGAUUUUCUUAUACAAUACCUAAACUCGUGAACUCAGGUUGAAUCCUUUUAUAUCUUGAACUCGUGAACUUCUGUUAUAUCAUUUCAGAAUUUUCAUUGUUUAUUACUACUUGCUGAGCAUUGUUGCUCACUCUUGCUAUUCUCUUUUAACCAUUUCAGAAAGGAUUAAAGAUGAAUGGCUAGACUAUGAUUGCGAGUAAGGCUAAGGCUAGGCGAGGAUUCAGAGUUGAGGAUCCAGUGGUCAAGGAGUAUUCAGGAAGAUUUAUAAAGUUGGUGCUAGCUAGAGUUGAGCUAUUGAGAUUCAGAUGUAAUUCAUAGCUGGAACAAAUUGGCAGUGAUUCUUCUUAUCGAAGAUGAUCCGAUUUGGUAAGAGAUGUUGUGUAAUAAUUAGUGAUGGAUUCUAAUUUCAAUACUGUAACCUGGAUGCGAUCCUGUUGAUUUUAGGGGGUUUAAAUGUUCUCUUUCAAAUCUUUUAUUAAGGC